AGCGAACGCUGGCGGCAGGCCUAACACAUGCAAGUCGAACGAACCCUUCGGGGUUAGUGGCGGACGGGUGAGUAACACGUGGGAACGUGCCUUUAGGUUCGGAAUAGCUCCUGGAAACGGGUGGUAAUGCCGAAUGUGCCCUUCGGGGGAAAGAUUUAUCGCCUUUAGAGCGGCCCGCGUCUGAUUAGCUAGUUGGUGAGGUAAUGGCUCACCAAGGCGACGAUCAGUAGCUGGUCUGAGAGGAUGACCAGCCACAUUGGGACUGAGACACGGCCCAAACUCCUACGGGAGGCAGCAGUGGGGAAUCUUGCGCAAUGGGCGAAAGCCUGACGCAGCCAUGCCGCGUGGAUGAUGAAGGUCUUAGGAUUGUAAAAUCCUUUCACCGGUGAAGAUAAUGACUGUAGCCGGAGAAGAAGCCCCGGCUAACUUCGUGCCAGCCGCCGCUGUAAAAC
rnacentral:rRNA from 1 species